rnacentral:rRNA from 1 species
UACGUAGGUGGCAAGCGUUGUCCGGAUUUACUGGGCGUAAAGGGCUCGUAGGCGGCCAACUAAGUCGGACGUGAAAUCCCUCAGCUUAACUGGGGAACUGCGUCCGAUACUGGAUGGCUUGGAUUUGGGAGAGGGAUGCGGAAUUCCAGGUGUAGCGGUGAAAUGCGUAGAUAUCUGGAGGAACACCGGUGGCGAAGGCGGCAUCCUGGACCAAUAUUGACGCUGAGGAGCGAAAGCCAGGGGAGCAAACGGG